rnacentral:rRNA from 1 species
CCUACGGGUGGCAGCAGUGGGGAAUAUUGCGCAAUGGGCGAAAGCCUGACGCAGCGACGCCGCGUGAGGGAUGAAGGUCUUCGGAGCGUAAACCUCUGUCAGCAGGGAAGAACGGUCACGGUGCUAAUCAGCAGUGAAUUGACGGUACCGGCAAAGGAAGCACCGGCUAACUCCGUGCCAGCAGCCGCGGUAAUACGGAGGGUGCGAGCGUUAAUCGGAAUUACUGGGCGGAAAGCGCUCGUAGGCGGGAUGUCAAGUCCAGGGUGAAAUCCCCGCGCUCAACGUGGGAACUGCCUUUGAAACUGGCAAACUGGAGUGUGUGAGAGGUUAGUGGACUUCCAGGUGU